GUGUGGCUGCACAGCCCUGUUCCGCCAGUGUCUGCAGAGGACCUGGUGGGCCUGGCCGUCUGGAUCCUGGCCCCUGGCGCGGGGAGCCACGUUCCGCUCCCCCCCCACCCCCUGCCCCGGUCUCAGGCCCAGCCUGCCUGCACAGUGCCACCCAGGAAGCUGCCCCACGCUGGAGGUGACCUGGCCACUGCGAGCCCACAGGUCACACACAUUUCUGUCCUCAGGGGCAUCCCCGAGCCCAUCCUCCACACCCACUGAGCCCACCCAGACAGCUUCUCCUUCCAGAGGCCCUCCCUGCCCCUGCAGGCAAGGCCUUUCCUCCGGGACCCCCACCUGGGGCUCCACAAGCUGGGGGCCCUGGCGCAUUUCCCCGGCGCUGUGGCUGGAGCUCACUGCUUGCAGGGAGGGCCUGGGCAGCGCGCCCUUGCCCUGGACCCAACCUCUCCCCUUUGCUGACCUGACGCCAGAGUCUGUUUGGGAGCAGGUUAGAAAGGGGUCUAACCGGGGCUUCCAAAGCGAGGCUGCCGUGGGGGAAGCUGGCCCAGCCACAGGGAACUGUGCCGAGGUGGGAAGCAGAGCCCAACCAUGCCAGACUUGGUGGGACUUUCUAGAGAACUGCAAGUCCACACCAGCCUGUGAAAUCUCCUGAUUUAAAAACCUGUAAGAGUGCCGUGGGCACAACAAAGUAAGUGAGCCUGUGGCCGCCACAGGCCAGCUCUGCCCUCUGCCAGCUAGCUCCCAGGCAGACAGGGGACGGGGGGGAGGGGGCACUGGGCCAUCAGUUUCCUAGGAACUCGUCGCUCUCCAAGCCUCCCUCUGCUUCACCCAGCCCAGCCACAGACACCUGCAGGCAGCUCUGGGGCCAAGCAGGGGGAGUCUCGGGGAGGGGGAGUCUGGGGGGAGUCAGGCUGGAGCAGGGGGCAGCCUGGGGCCUGCCUCCCUCAAGGAAGGCUGCUGUGAGUCCGCUGGCCAGUGUUGCCUUGGGACCUGGCAAGAGGCU